GACGAACGCUGGCGGCGUGCCUAAUACAUGCAAGUUGAGCGAUGAAGAUUGGUGCUUGCACCAAUUUGAAGAGCAGCGAACGGGUGAGUAACGCGUGGGGAAUCUGCCUUUGAGCGGGGGACAACAUUUGGAAACGAAUGCUAAUACCGCAUAACAACUUUAAACAUAAGUUUUAAGUUUGAAAGAUGCAAUUGCAUCACUCAAAGAUGAUCCCGCGUUGUAUUAGCUAGUUGGUGAGGUAAAGGCUCACCAAGGCGAUGAUACAUAGCCGACCUGAUAGGGGGAUCGGCCACAUUGGGAAGGAGACACGGCCCAAACUCCUACGGGAGGCAGCAGGAGGGAAUCUUCGGCAAUGGACGAAAGUCUGACCGAGAAACGCCGCGGGAGGGAAGAAGGUUUUCGGAUCGUAAAACUCGGUUGGUAGGGAAGAAAGUUGGUGAGAGUGGAAAGCUCAUCAAGUGACGGUAACUACCCAGAAAGGGACGGCUAACUACGUG
rnacentral:rRNA from 1 species